CUACGGGAGGCUCCAGUGGGGAAUAUUGGACAAUGGGCGCAAGCCUGAUCCAGCCAUGCCGCGUGAGUGAUGAAGGCCUUAGGGUUGUAAAGCUCUUUUACCAGGGAUGAUAAUGACAGUACCUGGAGAAUAAGCUCCGGCCAACUCCGUGCCAGCAGCCGCGGUAAUAGCGGAGGGAGCUAGCGUUGUUCGGAAUCACUGGGCGUAAAGCGCACGUAGGCGGCCAUUCAAGUCAGAGGUGAAAGCCCGGAGCUCAACUCCGGAACUGCCUUUGAAACUAGAUGGCUAGAAGAUGGGAGAGGGGAGUGGAAUUCCGAGUGUAGAGGUGAAAUUCGUAGAUAUUCGGAAGAACACCAGUGGCGAAGGCGACUCACUGGACCAUUAUUGACGCUGAGGUGCGAAAGCGUGGGGAGCAAACAGGAUUAGAUACCCGGGUAGUC
rnacentral:rRNA from 1 species